AGCGAACGCUGGCGGCAGGCUUAACACAUGCAAGUCGAGCGGGCAUCUUCGGAUGUCAGCGGCAGACAGGUGAGUAACACGUGGGAACGUACCCUUCGGUUCGGAACAACUCUGGGAAACUGGAGCUAAUACCGGAUACGCCCUUAUGGGGAAAGGUUUACUGCCGAAGGAUCGGCCCGCGUCUGAUUAGCUAGUUGGUGGGGUAACGGCCUACCAAGGCGACGAUCAGUAGCUGGUCUGAGAGGAUGAUCAGCCACACUGGGACUGAGACACGGCCCAGACCCCUCCGGGGGGCAGGAGGGGGGAAUAUGGGACAAGGGGCGCAAGCCUGCUCCGGCCAUGCCGGGUGAGUGAUGAAGGCCUUAGGGUUGAAAAGCUCUUUUGCCCGGGACGAUAAUGACGGUACCGGAAGAAUAAGCCCCGGCUAACUUCGU
rnacentral:rRNA from 1 species